rnacentral:rRNA from 1 species
CCUACGGGAGGCAGCAGUUGGGAAUAUUGGGCAAUGGGCGCAAGCCUGACCCAGCAACGCCGCGUGAAGGAAGAAGGCUUUCGGGUUGUAAACUUCUUUUCUGAGGGACGAACAAAGUGACGGUACCUCAGGAGUAAGCCACGGCUAACUACGUGCCAGCAGCCGCGGUAAUACGUAGGUGGCAAGCGUGAUCCGGAUUUAUUGGGUGGAAGGGGCGUGUAGGCGGGAAAGCAAGUUAGAUUUGAAAACUCAGGGCUCAACCCUGAGCCUGCAUUUGAAACGGUUUUUCUUGAGUUCUGGAGAGGCAAUCGGAAUUCCGUGUGUAGCGGUGAAAUGCGUAGAUAUACGGAGGAACACCAGUGGCGAAGGCGGAUUGCUGGACAGUAACUGACGCUGAGGCGCGAAAGCGUGGGGAGCAAACAGGAUUAGAUACCCGGGUAGUC